UAUAACCUACCUAAUUCCUUAAUUAAGCUAUCAAUUAAAUCUGUGUCUAUGCCACCUGCUAUGCCUGGGCCUCGUGCCAUGUGGUAAAUGCCAACUCCGACAGACCCAUCCCUACAGAACCCAGAGCUCCUGACACGUUUGUUCCCAGUAAAUCUUUAGUUGUUGCUCUCCUGCUUUCCCCCAUUGCUUUUUCCUGAGGUCGUUUUGGAAGCGCACACUGAGAUAGGUUGCCGAACCCAUUUGUCAGGCUUAUGGGAUUGCAGAAUGUUGGACUUGGCCAGCAGAUUUCAGCCGGGCCUUUUGAGGGCUAUAGAUUCCUCAACCUUUCUGUUGACCCCUUGGCAGGGAGAGUCACCUUUCUCGCCAUAGAAGCCUUGAACUUCACCCCAGGGAUGGGAUGGAGGAUACAGCUCAGGAAGAAAAAAAAGGGAGUCAAAGACACAGAGAAAAUGAGUGUCCUCCAAAGGUACAUUUUUUCUGCCAUUUACCCUGCACAGAACAUGGAGCUUCUUGGCCCCAACCAUGCAUGUGGAGGACAACAGACUCAACAAGACACCUGGUGAGUAUUUGCUUUACAUUUAGUCAUCAAAACUGCACGUGCUGGUUCUGUCGUGGGAUUGUCGAAUCCCACGGCCAAGAAAGAACUCGAGAC
rnacentral:lncRNA from 1 species